GACGAACGCUGGCGGCGUGCUUAACACAUGCAAGUCGAACGGAAAGGCCCUGCUUUUGUGGGGUGCUCGAGUGGCGAACGGGUGAGUAACACGUGAGUAACCUGCCCUUGACUUUGGGAUAACUUCAGGAAACUGGGGCUAAUACCGGAUAGGAGCUCCUGCUGCAUGGUGGGGGUUGGAAAGUUUCGGCGGUUGGGGAUGGACUCGCGGCUUAUCAGCUUGUUGGUGGGGUAGUGGCUUACCAAGGCUUUGACGGGUAGCCGGCCUGAGAGGGUGACCGGCCCCAUUGGGACUGAGAUACGGCCCAGACUGCUACGGGAGGCAGCAGUGGGGAAUAUUGCACAAUGGGCGGAAGCCUGAUGCAGCAACGCCGCGUGCGGGAUGACGGCCUUCGGGUUGUAAACCGCUUUCGCCUGUGACGAAGCGUGAGUGACGGUAAUGGGUAAAGAAGCACCGGCUAACUACGUG
rnacentral:rRNA from 1 species